CUCUUUGGCCCUCUCUGAGCUUACACAAGUGGAGCAACAUUCCUGCGGUCAUCCAAACACGGCAGGCACUCAGCUCGUUCCACACGAGGCGUUCUGGCUAGAAAAUGCUGCCUCGAGGAAACUGGAAUCCUGUGUACUCUGACAACACAGAGACGGUCCCUCGGCGUGCUCCACGAGGGUAAGACAGGCCUAAUAGAAGAUGUUCUGGCAUGUCAAAACAGCGAACCAUCAGCCAUCGCCUCUUCCCAAGUUUGAGAACAUAUUUUUCUUUCACGUGUUUAAGAAUUUUGAGAUCCAGCCUAACACUGAAGACUCAUUUCCACCAUCGCACACCUUCUGCAGUUCUCUCUCCUGCUGGGGAUGUCGUAGAGGAGGCAGGAGGCUGUGUCUAUGGAGCUGGCCAGCAGCAGGGGCCCAUUACUCAGAAGAUGCUGAAGAGGAUCCAGACAGGAUGAAACUCUUACCAGGGCACGGUGGACAAGGAUGGACGUCACCAGCUUCCCAUUCUGCAUAACCUGGAAGUCAGUCCCUGCCUUUAGAUUUGACUACUCUCUUGGUAUUGAGAUGUUGACCGAUCAUUAUCUACAGCCUGGCUUCUUCCAUAGUCUCAUCCUGCAGCAUGUGUGAUUGAACAGAAUUCUCAUUGUAACAUGUGUUUAAAGCUGAAAGAUGACCUGUGACAACUUUCCUCUGUCUUUACAAUCUUCUGCACAUGUGACGUGACUAGUGCUCCCCUUAGAAGGACGGCAUGCAGUGUUUGCUGAUGAAGUGAAACGUGCCUGG